rnacentral:lncRNA from 10 species
AAAAAAAAAAAAAAAAAAGUCAUAUAGCCAAAUGACAGUGUCCUAAACGGAAUGGGGAUUUUUGUACAAUACAACAAAACCCAGUGGUCUGGAAGUGGCAUGUAUGAUUUUUUUUUUUUUUUUAAUGCCGACUCCAAUUCCCAACCCCCAGGCGCAGAGUAAGAAAAUGAGCUGGAACUGUCUCCUGAAGCCUGUCAAUGUGAGAUGCCUUGCUCUCCCUUUGCCUUCUGCCAUGAUUGUAACCUUCCUGAGGCCUUACCAGAAGCGCAUGCCGGUGCUAUGCUUCCUGUACAGCCUGCAGAACGGUG